UCCAGACUCCUACGGGAGGCAGCAGUGGGGGAUAUUGCACAAUGGGGGGAACCCUGAUGCAGCGACGCCGCGUGGGUGAAGGAGUAUUUCGGUAUGUAAAGCCCUAUCGGCAGGGAAGAAGCAAGACGGUACCUGACUAAGAAGCCCCGGCUAACUACGUGCCAGCAGCCGCGGUAAUACGUAGGGGGCAAGCGUUAUCCGGAUUUACUGGGUGUAAAGGGAGCGUAGACGGCAGUGCAAGUCCGGAGUGAAAGCCCGGGGCUCAACCCUGGGACUGCUCUGGAAACUGUAAAGCUGGAGUGCGGGAGGGGCAGGCGGAAUUCCUGGUGUAGCGGUGAAAUGCGUAGAUAUUAGGAGGAACACCAGUGGCGAAGGCGGCUUACUGGACGAUGACUGACGCUGAGGCUCGAAAGCGUGGGGAGCAAACAGGAUUAGAUACCCGUGUAC
rnacentral:rRNA from 1 species